CCAGACUACCUGCGCCAGAUACACUUAAGAUGCAUGUUAAUUGUGCAAAUUCAUUGGCUCCUAAGCAUCUUCCUCCUAGGUGGCACCCAAUUGAUUCUUACGUACAAUGACGUUGGGGUCCAAAUUACUUCCUUUUAUCUAUAACUGUGUAACCUUUGUUCUGGAUAGAAAUGUCAAAUAAUGUUUCCUGUGAUAAUUUAAAACAACUGGGGAGAUAGGACUCAGCUUCCUUAAACAGUUUUGAAAACCAGUUUUCUUAUAGGCAAAAAGGAUUAGAGUCUUUGAAGUUUGGUGUUUAAUAUAGUAUUCUAAAUUCAUUUUUUAAAAUGUCAUCAUUUUAAAACUACUCUGUAUCAUUUUAUGGGUUAAACCAUACACGUUUAAAAAUGACUAUGACAUCUUGCCUAAAAAGUAUUCAUGUCUGUGAUAGCUCAGAAGGUGAUUUUUUUAGCUGGGUUUAUAAAUCCUGUAUAGUAGGAUUACUACUGUAAGUUUAUUAUUGGUCAUUUUGUUAAGAUUUAAAAUACUCCUAAAAGGCCCUUAAUUCCAAAGUUUCUUGAUAGUAGUUCAAACUAGUUGAGAAUUCUGUAAGUGAUUUGCUGUUGUUGAACUAGAGCUCCUACUUAGCUAUUGGGCUGUAGCAUAGUGCCAGACUUCUGAGGUACAGAGAUAAUGAUCUUUUCACAUUCCUGGGG
rnacentral:lncRNA from 1 species